rnacentral:lncRNA from 1 species
AAGAGAGAAAGUAUAGAAUGGCCCGAAUGGUCGAGUGACUCGUCUAAGGGCAAUGAAGACGCAACAGAGCAACAAGAGGAGGAAAAUGAAGAAAUAGAUGAUAAGGCUAAGGAGGAUGAUGACUUCGCCUCAUAUUACUGAAACUUCGAGAGUGCCUUUAUGUCCACAAGGAAACCAAAGGGGAGACCUGUCUUUCGAAAGCCUAGCGACCGAUCUUGGAUGCAACCGUCAAAGCCCACUAUGAAUAGAGAAGGGAAAGGAAUCGCAGGACCGAGUGAGGGCCACGAGGAUGAUUCGGAUUACUUAUAUGAUCUCGUAAUUUUAACUACAUUUUUACUUAUUUAUGUGACAAGUGAAACUUUAAACACUUUUGCUUUUGUCUUGGAACAUUUUUAUUUUGCGUAUUAUUAUUGUUUGUUUUUUGAUAUUCUUAUGUGCAGCGAGUUACCUUGAAAGACUACACAACAUAUAGAGCUUCAAGGAGGAGGUAGACGUCCGAGCUAGUCUGAUGCUCAAUUCUAUGGAAGUCAGAUAACCUCAUAUCCUUUCUUUUAAACACAUUAGGGAUAAUGUGUAGUAUGAGUGUGGGGGGUGCACAUAAGUUUUUAUGUAUGUUUAUUUUAGUUUUCAUGCAUUUUUCAAAAAUUCAAAAAAAAAUCCAUUUUUUUAAUUUUCAAAAAUCCAAAAAUAUUUCUUUUUUUCAUUUUAAUUUUUUAUUGCAUGGUUCUUGGACUGUAAUUGAGUAAAAAAAUAGUAGUUGUACAUAUCAAAUGCAUAUAUAGAAUUGCCAAACUUGUAAAUUUUGAAUUAUACUGUAUAAUUUCUUACUCUUAAUUGUAGAUUAAUUAGUUCACUUAGUUAAUAUGUAUAAUGGAUUAGAGGCAAUACCUGAAAUGAAAAUGUAUAGAAUGUACCGUAAGAUGAAUAAAAGAUACGAAUCCUUGUAGAUAAAUAAUUCGAAUUGCUAAUUGUUCAUUUAAAUAGAUGCAUGCUUAAUAAAUUAUUAUUAGGUGACUAAUCUGGGAAAGACAUUAGGAUUGUUUGUAUAGCCUUCAGCCUAAAUGACCAACCUUAAACAUUACAUUAUCUCUAGUUCCCGAAUUUGAGCCUUACAUUGCCCUUCUUAAUGAGCCUCUAUGUUUGAAAUCUUGAGCCAAAAUUGAGUUCAGAACUCAACCCUUAAUAGUCCUUGUACUUUGUAAUCCACUAUCGAAUGGAUAUCAGGCCAUAGACAUCGAGGGUUAGGUAGGAACGUUAAUAAUGUUUCUCACAAAAGUGUACUCGAGUGAUUAGUAAAGAGGGAUUGAAUUAGCUCGUAACUGAUUCUUUCCAGAAAUCGUGCUUAGAAAGAAAAGAAAAAUUUGAAAGAAAUAAAAAUGAGGAUCAAUAGCAUUGUGAGAGAAAAGAACAAACAAAUCAUACAUAUGCUCAAAACAAUAAAAAUAAAGAAGCAUAAAAUUUUCUUGAAAUCAGGUUGAACAAAAAUGAGCUAAUAUCAAUCAUCAUUUUCCAUAUUGUUGGAGAAAUAAGGACGGUGAGAGAAGAAGAAAUAACGAGGUGAGAUGUAACGAUCACAGUUUGGGGGGAAUUGGGAACAAUAUUUUGUGCUUUACUAUUCAUAGUGCUUAAACCAUUUUGAGAUGAACUUUUUUUGAGUUUGUACCAACCUCAGCCUCAUAACGUUACAAGCUUAAAAGACUUUUUGGACCCGAAUAAGUCAUCGACGCAUUAAUUUGUACAUGGCUUGUAUUUGUUGAAAUGAACAUGAACAAUUCUUUUUAAAUAUCUAUAAGCGAUUCGUAUAAUUUAUUUUGAUAGAUAACAUUUGUACACAAAUUCAUUUACAUUGCCUCUAGCACCAUUGAUACUAACUUCUUGAACUAAUAAUAUUUACAUUAUAAGGAGGUAAAUUAGCUAGAAAUCUCUUAAAUUACAUGUGAAGUAAUUCUUGUACAAAUUUGAUGUUGUACGACUAUAUAACUUAAUUACUUGAUUUAGUCCAAGGGUCGUCUUUUUGCAUGUUUCGUGUGUUUACUUGAGGAGAAGCAAAUACUUGAGUAUGGUGGAGUUGAUCUACCAUAAAUCGAUGUGGCAAAUUAGGCUUUUUCGACGAAUUUAAGGAGCUUUUUCUUGAGAAAAAUAGAGUUUUUAGCAUAGUUUUUUUUGUUAUUUUCAUUAUUUUUAUAUUUUCGAGUAAUAAGUGAAAAUGUAUCGUUUUUGUCUAUUUUUACCCAAAUUGGUCGCUAGUGUCAUUUGGAGGCCUAACGUGUGUUUGAAUGCUGGAGGGACGUGUCGGAGGUCGAAAAUGAGCAAGAACGAUACCUAGGUCAAGGGUAUAGCGAUAUCCAACCCUUAGGAUUGCAAUACCUCCGACAGUGUAAAAGAUCAAUGAUUCCCUUUGGUGGUAUCAUGUAUGCUUAAUAUCCUUAUUUGGUUAUGUUGACAAUAUAAAAUGUUUUGAUGCUUUGCUAUAUGAUUAUGAAACGUUGGCCAUGUGAAAAAAACCAUUAUGUGAGUAUGUUCGGUAAAGGCUGAAAGUCUAAAAUCCCGUUUGAACCUUAGGAAUAGUUGAGGAUACAAGUGACACGUCACUAGGAUAGUCAUGUGCGUUAUGAGCUCAUUUAAUAUGUGAUACAUGCUAGGGUCUGGGUGCUGGGUAUCCUGAGUUGUGUUCGGACACUCUCUUAGCUCUUUAAGUAGCCCCGUUGAGAGCGACAUGUGAUUCUGUGAUAUGAAGCACUUCAGUGCACUUUCUGUCAAGUAGCCAAGGCUACGUUCAGGCACUUUGGUGCAUUCCUUUCGUGUGUCCGAAUCAUAUUCCAAGUGUUCAACGGGUAACGUAAUAUGAAUUUCGAAAGUAAAAUUUAAGUAGGCCAUGUGUGUGCAGGAUGGCACAGGUAUGUAUUAAAACCCUAUGAGGACUUAGUAUAUGAAAAGAAAUGUAUUUGGAUAAGCAUGUGCAUAUGAAUAUGGAAGGUAAGUAUAUGUAUGAUGUAAUGAAAAGUAUCAUAAUGGAUAAGCAAUUAUGCUUAGAUAUUCAAUAGUUGCAAAAUGUAGAUUAUUUUUAUGUGUACUUACUUAGCUUUAUAGCUUACCCUCCUCUAUUUUCCAUUCCCUUUAGAUACGUUAAGCUAGCUCGAAGGAUCAGGAGACGUCAGAGCUCAGAUCAUACUAUCUUCAAGGAUUUUGGGUAUAAAAAAAAAGGCUUCAAUUAUUUUGGUCAUGGCAUGUAUAGGAAACUUGUCUAUUUUGUGUAGAUGUGUCAUGUUGAAGUAGCCAAGUAUAAUGGCUCAUUUGGGCAUUGAUUAUUUUGUAUGUGGCCAUGUGAUUUGGUCCAUAUUAAUGAUUGGGAUGUAUCCCUAAGUUUAUCUUUACAUGCAUACUAAGAUGUGUAUGUGUUGGUUUGAUGGAUGACUAUUCAUUUGCUAGUAUGUGGUUGCAUGAUUUAGCACUCAUAAUGGAUUGAUAAUAAGGAAUAUGGUAGAACAUGAAAUUGAUGUGGAAUGACUAAAAGAUAAGUUUGUAUGAAUACUAAGGGACUAGUAUGAAAAAGGGGUCAUAGUGAUGCUAUAAUGUUGCAUGUUUAAUUGUCCAAAUAUAUCAUGGGAUAUGCCAUUGAACAUAUGGAAGUGUAUGAUUGUUUAAGGGUGACCAAUUGCUUGGACAGUAGCCUCCAAAUGGUCCACACGGGUAGACACACGGGCAUGUGUCUAGGCCGUGUGUGAUACACGGUCAGCCCCAUGGGCUUGUCGUUUGGCCGUGUGUCCCCUGCACCUUGAGUUUUAGGUUAACAUGCAUGGUAGUAAGCACACGGGCAGAGACACGACCGUGUGUCUCAACUGUGUGGAGGACACAGCCUCUGCCCACAGGCGUGUGCUUGGCCGUGUGCCUCAAAUUUGUAUGAUAACGUCAUAAAAAGAAUGCUCACUAAAAUCAAAUGGGCUACCACACGGGCGUGUCCCAGGCAGUGUGAAAACCUCUGUAGGUUCGAAUUGGAAAAUAAAUCCAAUAAUUCCACACGGGUGUGAGACAUGGGCGUGUGCAUUGCCUCCACAUAGGCGUGUGAGGCUUUAACCUAAAAAUUUUCUUAAAAUUUCUGUGAGUCCUCGGUUUAGUCCCAGCCCGCCAAUAAUGCAUGUUUUGGGCCUCGUAGGUCUAUAAUAGAGACAAAUUGACUUUAAUUGAUUGGUUUUAGUUGAACGAAAUUUUGUGGCUCGGUUCUGUAUGUUUGGUUCUGCUUAAGUUCGGUAAUGCCUCGUACCCUGUCCUGCCAUCGGAUACAGGUAAAGGGUGUAACAGCCCGAUUUAGAACCUAAUCGGAAUGGUGGUUUUCGGACCACAAAUUUGAGUCAAAAAAAUAUUUAAAAAUUAUUUUGUGUUUAUUUUGUGUGAAUUUAUGUCUGUGAAAUUUUCGUGAUUUAAUUUUGUCGUUUAGGUGUUCGAUUUAAUAAAAGGACUUAAUUGCAUAAAAUGAAAAUUUGGUGGUUAUUUUUUAAAAAGGGCCGAAUUGCAUUUGGCUUUAUAAAUAGAAGCCUUUAUGUUGCAAUUAGCCCAUUGAAUGAGUAAGUGGACAGUAAUGGCCAAGGAAAUAAUGAUUUUAUAUUAUAUUAUAAAGGUUAAAAAGGUAAUUUAGUUAAUAAACAUAUAAUAACUAAAAUUAAGUUAACUUAUUCAUUUUAUUUCUUUUGUUCUUACAUUGAAACUAAACAAAAAGAAAAAGAAACAAUAAAAGCUAGGGUUCGGCACUUUGUAAAGCUCAAUUAAGGUAAGUUUUAGCUUGGUUUUUGAUAAUUUCUACGUUUUUGAUAUCGUUGCUUAGUAAUCUUCAAGACCCAAGCUUUAAUUUCUGAUUUUGAUGAAUAUUUUGAGUUGUGCCAUUGUUGAUAGCUUGUGAUUUUUGUUGUUUGAUGAUGAAAUAUGAAAGAUAUGUUUUAGAUUAACACAUUUUGUAUUGGAGUUUUUGAUGAUUUUGAGUAAUUAGGACUAAAUUGCAAAAAUAAUCAUUUGAGGGACUAAAAUGUGAAUAAAUGAAAUAUAUGGACUUGUAUGGUAAUGGGUAAAAUUUUGCCUAACAUGAGUAUAGGGAAAUUUUGUAUAUUUUGUGUUUUGUGUAAUAAUGACUAAAUUGUAAAAAUUGUAAAUGUCAGGGUAAAAUGGUAAUUUUCCUAUUUAUGUGUUUUUGGACUAAAUUGAAUGAAAAUAUGUUUGAAAGAGCUUAAUUUGAAUAUUUUUAGAUCAAGAACCAAAGAAAUCGGAUUUAGAUCGGGGGAAAACAAAAAUUAUCGACUAGUCGAUCCGUACCGGUUUUUCGUUGUCCGAGGUAAGUUUAUAAGCAAAUAGACGUACUUAAUUCUAAUUAAAUGUAAUAUAUAUAUAUAUACUGAAAUGAAAUAUGUGAUUUUAUACAUGUUAAAGCCGAAUGUGAAUAAGCUUGGUUACCAUGUUUACAAAUUCGUUUCGACUGAGUUACGAUGUUCGAAAGCCCCGUAUGAACCUUAGGAAUAGUUAGGAUACAUAUGUCAUGACAUAGGAUUCCGAUAUAUGUGUACGAGUAAGACCCUGUCUGGGACAGUGGCAUCGAUAUGUGAUUACAUGUAAGACCACGUCUGGGACGUUGGCAUUGUACGAUAUAUGUGUGAUUAUCCGAGUGUCCUACCCAAUUCUGAAUGGUUCAUCUAGCAUCGAUAAGUUGUGAAUAAAUACGAAAUAUAAGCUGAAGGAUCAGCUAUGAAGCAAUCUGUUAUCUAUGGAAAUAAGGUAAGUAAGCUAUUUUAUGUAUGUUACAAAUUGUGUAUGAAGCUAAUAAUGAUUAUGUGUGAAUAUGGUAUGUGAAUUCAACUUUGAAGAUGGGUAACUUAAGUUUUAUUAAAGAGAUUUUUAACUAUGUGAAUAUGUAUAUGUGUGACUGUGUAUAUUCAGCCGAAUAUGAGAUAUGUGUGCAAAAUUUCAUAUUAUGAUUCUUGAGCUUAUUCAAUUAUAUAUAUGUAUGCUUGUUUUUAUAGUGACAUUUUGGCUUGGAAGUUAAAUGACUUUUGAUUGAGUAGUUUAGGUGAACAUCCAGCCAAGAUAAUAAUGGUGCAUGGAUUGUAUUAUUUUAUCUCAUUUGUAGAUUUAAGAUUAAGCAUUGAUAAUAAUAAUACAACUCGGUUAGCUUAAUUAAGCUGAUUAUAUUAUUACGUUGUUUAUUUGCUUAUGACUUACUAACCUGUGAUAGCUUACUCUGUGUGUUAUGUUACUUUGUUUUAUAGAUUUUGGAGUCAAGCUACGAGCUCAGGGACUGUCAGCCAAUUUCAUCACACUAUCUACUGUUUUGGUACCUUAUUAGCUAAACUUAAAUUAUGGCAUGUAUAUGCUGGAGCAUAUUUUUGAAGUGUUGUUUUUGGUUAUGUAUUAAAAACCAUACGAAAAUGGCUUGCUAUUUAUGUUUAAAUUUGAUUUUAUGUGUGCUUAGUUAUAAUGUUUUAUGAUCUUGGUUUUGAUAUAUGCGAUUAUGCUUGAUUAUAGUUUGAUUCGUGGUAAGUAUUUUAUGUACUGGAAAAUGGCUUUAUUUUCAGGUUUGAAUUCGGUUGGGUUGAAUCACGGCUUAAGUCUUUUUGAUAAAUAUACUGUAUGUCAUGGUCGAUCAAAAUCCUUGUGUUAUUUUGAAGGUGUAUCUAAGUAUAUAUAUAGCUUGCAAAGGUACUUUGUGGUUCGGCUAUAUGUUUAUAAUUGAUGUUAACUAUGCUAGGGUUUGCCAUAUGUUUGUUAAGUAAAAAUUAUGACUUAUGCUUGCAAUAAAUUAAUGACCAUUAUAAUUUAUACUAGAACAUGUGUAUAAGAUAUUCGGCCUCAUUAUCUUAGUUGAAUUUUUAUUUAUACUUUACUUGUGUACAAGGUGUUUAUAUUGCAGAUUUUAUGUUAGUUGAGUUUUUUCAUGUUUUACAUGUACAAAUAUAUGUGCUUAUAAUAUGAUUGAUAUGUAUAUGUGCUUGGCAAUAAAAAUUCGUUAGAUAUUUGUAAGUUAUUAAAUAUGUAUAAAUGAAUUAAGUUAGCCAAGUAGACAUAGAAAUGAAAUGGGUUACUUAUAACCGAAUUCUUGUUAUUAAAUUGAGUUAAUAUGCAAACAUAUGAAUUUCACAUAGACUAACACAUUAAAGCCGCAAAUAUGGAUGAAAAGGGGUGUAAUGAAAUUUAGUUCAAUUGAUAUAUAACUUGUGUAUAUGCAAGACUUAAUUGAAAAUAAUAAUAUAGGGUUAAUAUUCAAUAAUGAAAUUAUUGAUGUGUUAUAUGUUCUGUAAAUUUUUUUAAAUCUUUUGAUUUAUGUUUUAUUUUAGCUAUGUGGUGAAUGAUAGUAAAUUUAAGGUUAGGUAUUUAAAUUAAGUUGUAGGCAUUGAUGCGAUCUAAAUCUCGAAUUGCAAUGAAUGUAUGGUUUGCAUUUGUAAUACGGUGGUUAAAUAUAUAUAUGAUUAUGACUUGAAUUGAUAUGAAAAUAUCCGGAACUGUGCUUUCAUUUAGUAAUGCCUCGUAACCCCACUCUGGCGACGGAUACGAGUUAGGGGUGUUACAAGGGGUGUUACAUAUCACGUAUCCCCUUGGAUAUCACAAUAUCAACAUUCUAAGGAAGGCUCCAAGUUUCAACACUGCUUAAGAUAUCGCAAUAUAUCGUGAUACCACUUUCGCUAAGGGGACAAGCCUUGACAAAGAGGGUAGCCUUUGUGUACCUAGCCCUCCAAACACACAAGGCCUGUGUAGAGGCAUUUUUGGCAUUGAAAAGUCAUCAGUAUACACUUCAAAAUAGCCAAAAAUUGCUGAGAAGGAGAGAGACACACAUUAGCUUAGUUUUCUCUAGGUUUUCUUUAGUUUUUCUUAGCACUUUUCUAGGGUUUUUAUUUUUCUCUUCUUCUACCUUAGAUUAGAGUUUUUUUUUUGCAUUUACUUUUUGUUCUUCUUGUUCUUAGUGUUAGUUAAGUUAUUUAACACUAUAGUUAAGGUUUAUAUAUAUUUAUAGUCCCUAUACCUUGCUUUCAAGACUUUUUAAGCUUUAACUUAAUGUAUUUCAGUUUAUUUUGCUGUCAAUAUGUUAAAGCUUGCUCCUGUUAUGUUUCUUGCCUUAAAUUUCUUUAUUAAAUGUUUUGGUUUCAUGCUAUUUAAGUUUUCUUACAUAAAAAUCUCAACUCUUAUAUUUUUAUUAAUGUUUACUUUCAUGGCUGCCUUGUUUUACAUUUUUAUGUUUAUUUUUUUACUUUGAGAAUAAGUAGCUAAACCUUAAAGGAGGUUGGUUGAUGAAGAUGUGGGUAAACUGUAACAGCCCGUUUUCAGUAAAAUCAGAAUAGUAGUUUUGAGACCACAAAUACGAGGUCAAAAAAUUUAUUCUAAUAUUAUUUUAUGAUCUAUAGCAUGAUAGUAUUAUCAUAUAAAAAUUUCAUUAAGAAAUUUUAUCAUUUACAUGUUCAAUUUGAUAAAAAAGGCUAAAUCGUGUAAAAUGCAAAAGUUGAGUUCUAAUAGCUAAAGGUAUUAAAUAGCUAUAUAACUUUAAAGUGGAAGUCCUUAAAUGGAAAUUAGACCAUUAAAGGUGAUAGUGGUUGUGCAUGGCUUGACAAUUUUGUUAUUUUAAAGUUAGGUAAGGUUAGUUUGGUAAAUAUGUAAUAAUAGAUAAAUUAAAUAAAAAAAAGCCUAAAAGCUAUCAUCUUCCUCCCAUUUUCUUUUGUUAGCCAAAUUUCAUAUUUUGAGAAGAAGAAAAUUUUGGUCAAGCUAUUCCAUUGCAUGUAAGUGAAUUUUGAGUUUAUUUUUAAUGAUUUUUAUGUUUUCGGGAUCGUUGUAGCGUAACCUAGCUAACCCAGGGACUAAUUUUCAAGACUAUUGAAUUGUUUGAGUUUUUCCAUUGAUAAAUAUGUUAGGAUUUUAAAGUUUAAUGGUAGAAAAAUAAUGGUUGUUGUUAGAUAUAUAUCUUUUGUUAAGUGAUUUUUGAUAAAAUUGUCAAUUAGAGGGUUAAAUUGAGAUGUGAAAUAUUCACGACGUAAUCUGUGAAUUAAUGAAAUGUGUGGGCUUCUAUAGUCUAUAAUGAUACUCGGCUAGGCUUGGGUAGUGAUGAAUUUGCAUGAAUUUCAUUUUACGAGCCUAAGGACUAAUUUGUAAAGAAAUAAAAAGUAUAGGGGUAAAAUUGUAAUUUUUCCAAAACAUGAUUUUUGGAUUAAAUUGAAUAGAAUGAGGUUUGAGUUAGUUAAAUUUGAUUACAUAGAUCAAGAAAAGAAACGUACGGAUUUAGAUAGGGAAAAAGGAAAAGUACAAGAUUAAUCGAUCGUUUUUCUCUGUACGAGUUUGAGGUAAGUUCGUAUAUCUAAUUAACAUGAAAUUAUAUUUGAUUUAAAUGCUUUUGUGUUAUAUUAUUGAUAGUACGACUCUACGAAAAUUUCACAACGAAGUUUCGACGACUUUCGGAUCCCGUUUGACCCUUAGGAAUAAAUAGGAUACAAAUGACAUGUCAUUAGGGGUUAUCGUGUUUUGGGUGCUGGUCUUGUACGUCCUUCCGGUGGCUGAGUUUCCAGCAUUUAUUGUAGUUACUUGACAGCUUGUGUGAACAGAACCGUGUAGCUACAUCUUGAAUGAUAGCUUGUGUGAGCAGACCCAUUUAUGGCUCGAGAGAGAGCAUUGGUACGAGAUAUGAGAUAGUAGUGGUUUUGACCACAUGUUGGCACAUAGUGUGCGAGAUUCCUGUGUAUCCGAUAUUAUUAUAGUGGUUCAAUGGGUAUGAGAAGAAGGAAAGAUCGUCAAAUGCUUCAAUUAGAUUUGCUAUGAAAGUAUAGAAAGGUAUGAGUUUUUGGAUGAUUGAAAUAUGCUUUGCCAUAUGCUUGAAAAUAUGAAUGCACAUAAGUAGUGUGUACUUAUGCUAUGAUGUUUUGAGAUGAUUUGCUAGUUUAUGUGAUGUUUAAAAUUUAGAGUUUAUUCUUGUUUAGGCUAAGGCCAAGACAUGUUGGAUUGACUCAAAUUGUUUUAAGCUUAUAAAUUGAAAUGGUAAACUUUAUUUUUGAAUUACAAACUUACUAAGCAGUACAUGCUUACUUUGUGUUAAUUUUCCUUAUGUACCUAGAUAUUGAAAGCUCAUACGGGUUGGAAGUUGUCAAAGAUUUCAUCACACUAUCAAUCGGCUAUUUUGGUACUUUUGGUUAUAUAAUUUUGGUUAUAAUGGCAUGUAUAGGUCAUUUUGGCUAAUGAUAGCCUACAUGUUUUGUUAUGUUUUUAGCCAUUUGAUUUGGCUUGUAUUUUGGAUAUAUUUUGUUAUGUAUAUACGUAAGUGGCCUUAUCAUAUGUGGUGUAUGGCUAUCAUGUGAAUGUCUAGUUUAUGAAUUGAUAUUUUGGGUACCAAAUAGUUGAGCUUGAUAAGUAACAUACAAGUUAAAUUUUGGUACAAUUAUGCAUAUUUGUGUUUAGUCAUUUAGGCAGGUUUGGAUACAUAGUUGGCAUGUUUUUAAAUGGUCAAUUGAGGUGCCUAUGUGCAUCAUGGUUUUAUGUGAUGAUAUUACAUGUCUUAAGCUUGAUUUUGGUUUGUGUUAGAAUGUCCAUUCAUGACUUAGUCAUAUGCAAAUUGUUGUGUUUAGGUUGGUAUCAAUUUGGGUGAGAAAUAUGGCUUGAACAAUGGUGUUUUUUGUCCACACGGGCGAAGAAAUGGGCGUGUGUCUCAACCGUGUGUGACACACGGCUAGGUGUCCCUUCUAACAUUUAAAGAACACAAGUCAAUAGCCUCACACGGCCUAGCACACGGGCGUGUGGCUUGACUGUGUGUCACACGUCAGUAUACUCACCAUUUUUCAGAUGGGCGUGUGGCUUGGCCGUGUAACCCAAGUCAGUGAGCUCACUAGUUUGGACAUGGGUUGGGACAGGGCUGUGUGUCCCUAAUUUAAAUGCCCACACGGCUUGAGAAACUAGUGUGUCUCUUGACCGUGUGAGACACACGACCUAGCCACACGGGCGUGUGUCCCUCAUACCUUUGAAAAAUUUCAAUGUUUUUCGAAAAAUUCUUUAAGUACUCGGUUUAGUCCCUACUUGUUUUUAAAGUUUAUUUUGGACAUCAAGGGCUUGUAUUAGGGACAGUAUGACUAUAAUUGAUUGGUUUCUUUUAUAAAUGUUAUAUGAAAUGAAAUGUCUAUUUGUUUGAUUUGUAAGUCCAGUAAUGCUCUGUAACCCUGUUCCGGAGUUGGAUACAGGUUAGGUUGUUACAUUUAUUGAUAUCAGAGCUACGAUUUAGUCAGUUCUUUGACUAAAGUAGCAUAUACAAGUCUAGUUAUACAUGCCAUUAUAUAACCUGUGAUAGUGUGAUAUCUUCUGACCAUUUUAAAACAUGUUUUCAUAUAGUAAUGGAUUCCAACCGAUCAGACUUCGAUGAUGUAGAAAGUAACGCGCUAGCCUUCGUUCUCGGAGCAGUGUUGUCUGGAUCGAGGCCCAUAUCUAAGGGCCGAGAAGGAGAGGCUUAAUAAGCCUUCUUCCAAAUGAUAAACGAGUGGCUCACUAAGUUUGUCCGAACUAAUCUAGCUGCUCAACAACCUCCACUCACACAUUUUCCCCAACUGGUUCCCGUAGUUCCUCAACGUUUGGAACCUUUACGCAUGACUAAGCCACCUAUUGAUAAAAUCUACAAAUAUGGUGCCGAAGAAUUCAGGGCUACAGUUGAUGAUGAUCCUGAGAGAGCUGAGUUUUGGCUAGAGAAUAUGAUCUGAGUCUUCGAUGAGUAAUCUUGUUCGCCAACCGAAUGUGUUAAAUGUGAUGUAUCUCUUUUGAAAUAUUCAAUAUACCAGUGGUGGAACACAUUAAUUUCAGUAGUGUUGAGAGAGCAGAUCACUUGGGAAUUCUUUCAGGCCGAGUUCAAAAAGAAAUAUAUAAGUCAAAAGUUACUCAAUCAGAAGCACAAUGAAUUUCUAGAGCUUAAACAGGGAAAUAUGACCAUAGCUGAAUAUGAAAGAGAGUUUGUUAGGUUAAGUAAGUAUGCCCGAGAGUGCAUUCCUACCGAAGUUGUUAUGUGUAAACGGUUUGAAGAUGGGUUGAAUGAGGACAUCAAGCUUUUAGCCGGAAUUCUUGAAUUAAAGGAACUUGAUGUUUUAGUUGAUAGAGCUCACAAAGCCGAGGAGCAUAGUAAAGAGAAAAGAAGAGCUGAUUUUGAGACUAUAGGUUCAAGAAAGAGGUCAAUGGGAAAAUCAUAUCACUCAACAUCAAAAAAAUCAAAGGAUUACCAUAAUCGUUCGACCACUUCAAUGGGAUAUCCUAACAGAGAUCGUGGUAAGCAAUACGCAAGUUCAAAAGCUCAAGCUACAUCAGUAGCAAGCAUUGGUAGUGUUAAGGCCAACAGACCUAAUUGUCAAUUGUGAGUAAGAUGACAUUUUGGUGAAUGUAGGAUGAACGACAGAGCCUGCUUCAGAUGUGGCUCACAGGAACAUUUUAUUCGGGACUGUCCUGAGUUACCUGAGAAAGACAAACUUCAAACUGUUCGACCCAGCAAUACAGCUGCAAGAAAGAGACCACCUUGAAAUCCCAAAAAUAUGAGCGGUAGCUAGGGUGUAACGAAAGAUUUUACUGUAAGAUCCGAGGUAUGGGCGCCAGCCAGAGCUUAUGCUAUUCGCGCAUGCAAAGAUGCUUCGGUGUCUGAUAUUAUUUCUGGUACAUUUUCUCUCUAUAAUAUUGAUGUGACUGUUUUAAUUGAUCCUAGAUUGACCUAUUCAUAUGUUUGCACGAAUUUAGUAUCUAGUAAGAGUUUACCUGUUGAGUCCACUGAAUUCGUGGUUAAAGUAUCAAACCCCUUAGGUCAAUAUGUCCUAAUUGAUAAAGUUUACAAGAAUUGUCCUUUGAUGACUCGGGAUUACAGUUUUCAACCGAUUUGAUGCUAUUACUGUUUGAUGAAUUUGAUGUGAUUUUGGGUAUGGAUUAGCUAACUUUGCAUGAUGCUGUUGUAAACUGUAGAAGAAAGCUUAUUGUAUUAAAUGUCAAAAAGGUGAGACUCUUCGUAUUGAAUCCGAUAAUUUGAAUGGGUUGCCUAUUGUGAUAUUAGCUAUGUUAGCACAAAAAUAUGUGAGAAAAGGUUGCAGUGCUUACCUUGCAUAUGUAUUGGAUACUAAAGUGUCUGAAUUGAAGCUUGAAUCAGUGCCAGUAGUUUGCGAAUAUCUAGAUGUGUUUCCAGAAUAGUUACCCGGGUUGCCGCUGACUAGAGAGGUCAAAUUUGCUAUUGAGUUAGUACUAGGAACAUCAUCGAUAUCGAUAGCUCCUUAUAGAAUGGAUCCUACAGAUUUGAAAUAGUUGAAAUCUCUGUUGCAAGAGUUAAUAGAUAGAGGUUUUGCAUGACCUAGUUUCUUGCCUUGGGGUACACCAGUUCUAUUUGUUAAGAAAAAAGAUGGAUCAAUGAGAUUGUGUAUCGAUAUCGACAGCUCAACAAAGUUAUGAUCAAGAAUAAGUAUCCAUUGCUGCGAAUCGAUGAUUUGUUUGAUCAGUUGAAAGGUGAAACGAUAUUUUUGAAUAUUGAUUUAAGUUCUGGUUAUUUUCAGUUGGGGGUUAAACAUUCAGAUGUGUCAAAAACUGCAUUCAGGACCAGGUACAAACACUAUGAAUUUUAUUGUGAUGUCGUUUGGGUUAACUAACGCCCUUGUGGUAUUUAUGGAUUUGAUGAAUAAAAUCUUCAGACCGUAUUUAGACGGAUUUUUUGUAGUAUUUAUUGAGGAUAUUCUGAUAUAUUCUUGAGACGAGUCUAAGCAUGCCGAGCAUUUGAGAAUUAUCUUACAAACUCUGCGAGAUAAACAACUAUUUGCUAAAGCAAAUGCGAGUUCUAGCUCCAAGAAGUUGUGUUUUUAGGACACAUAGUAUUGGCGGAAGGCAUCAGAGUUGAUCCAAGUAAGAUUUCAGCAGUUCUUGAUCGGAAACCACCAAGAAACAUAUCUAAAGUCAGAAGUUUUCUAGGAUUAGCGGGCUAUUAUCAGAGAUUUGUAAAAGGGUUCUCGAUGAUAGCUACACUGAUGACGUAGUUAUUACAGAAGGAUGUGAAGUUUGAAUGGUCAGAUAAAUUCCAUCAAAGUUUUAAUCACAUGAAAGCACUGUUAACUGAAGCACCAGUUCUGGUUCAGCUUGAUUCGAGUAAAGAAUUUGUGAUUUUCAGUGAUGCGUUAUUGAACGGUUUGGGAUGUGUUUUAAUACAAGAAGGCAAAGUGAUAGCUUAUGCUUCAGAUAGUUAAAUCCACAUGAAAAGAAUUAUCUGACAUACGACUUAGAGUUGGCCGCUAUUAUGUUUGCAUUGAAAAUUUGACGACACCAUUUGUUUGGUAAAAAAUGCCACAUAUUUACUGAUUACAAGCAUUUAAAGUAUCUGAUGUCACAAAAUGAUCUGAAUCUAAGACAGUGUAGAUGGCUUGAACUAUUGAAAGAUUAUGAAUUAGUUAUUGAUUAUCAUCCGGGAAAAGCAAAUGUAGUUAUGGAUGCAUUGAGUAGAAAAUCUUUGUUUGCUUUGCGAGUGAUGAAUACAUGAUUGACAUUGUCUAACGAUAGUCGAUCUUAGCUGAGUUAAAAGCUAAACUAAUGUUUCUACAGCAAAUAUACAAAGCUCAGCCAUGUGAUAAUGAAUGGCAAGCUAAACGAGUACAGUGUGAGUCAACUUCUAAUUCAAAAUUUCAGAUAGGACUCGAUGAUUUUUUUUAUUCAGAGGUAGAGUUUGUGUACUGAAGAAUCCAGAGCUUAUACAGAAAAUUUUGCACGAAGCUCAUAGUGGUUGCUUGUCUGUUCAUCCAGGGAGUACUAAAAUUACAAUGAUCUGAGACAGAUGUUGUAACGACCUAAAUUUUACUGUUACUGAAAAAGUGUAUUUUCGGGUCUCCUUUUCUAAAAAACGGAUUCAUAAAUGUUUAUUAAAAAUAUUUACGAAGUAAAAUGAGUGGUUAAUUAGAGUUUAAUUAAGUGAAUUUAAUUUAAUUAAGAGUAAUUAAGUAAAAGGACUAAAUUGAAUAAAGUGUGAAAGUUUAAUUGUAGAUUAAAAGAAAAUAAAGAGGACCAAAAUUACAAUUAUGCCAUUUGUCCUAAGUGAGGCGGCAAAUGCAUAAAAAACUUUGAUUUUUAUGCAUAAAUAUGUAUAUUAAAUUAUUAUUAUUAUUAUUUAUGGUUUUUACAUUUAAUAUUUAUUAAUGUUAUUUUUAUUAAAUUGAUAUUUAUUAUGAAAUAAAUUACAAGUUAACAAAUGUAUGGUAAUAAAAUAUACAUGUGUAAUGAAUUAAAUACAUACAUGUGUAAUACAAUUAUAUAAUUACUUAUAAUAUAAGAAUUAUUAUUAUAUUAUAUUAUUAUAAUAUAGAUAUAUAUAUAUAUAGUAAAGUAAACGAAAAAAAGAAACAAAAAGAAAAAGAGAGGAGAAAGAAUAGAGAGCAGGGACGAAAUAAGGGAAGGAAAGAAAAAAAAAGGGAAAAUUGGGGGUUUGAUGCUUGAAGCUUAAAUAGGUAAGUCAAUUUAGCCAUUUUUACUUAAUUUUUAUGUUUUAGAAACUUUAGAAUAAGGUUUUGAUGAAGUUAAGUUGAUAUAUUGUAAGAUAGUUGAUUAUAAGACAUUGUUCUUGUUGAACAAAAAGAUGAAUUAAGGGCUAAAUUGAUAGAAAUUCAAGUUAGAAAUGAAAUAAGGAUUGAAUUGUAAAGUGAUUCAUAAGUUUUAUGCUUUAAGGACUAAAUUGAAAGAAUUUCAAAAUUAUGGUUUUAUGAUAAAAAAUAAAUAAUUAUGUCUAAUUUUGGUUAAAAAUUGAGUAGAAAUAAAGUAUGAAUUAAGAUAGAAAAGUAAGUGAAUUUAGUUAGGAUUAAAUUGAAAUUAAAGUAGAAAAUCAACAUUUUGCAUUAAGACUGUUUGGGACAGUAGCAGUAGUCUAAGUUUGAAAAAUCACCAAAAAUCGUAGAAAUUGAAUUAGAAGAUGAAUAAAAUAUUUAAUUAAAUCUUAUUGAGUCUAGUUUCUUAUAGAAGAAACGGUGUAAGUAAUUGAAUUGUAAAUUAUGAGAUAUAAUGAGUUUUGUGAGACAAGGUCAGAAUGAAUUUGGGUUUCCCUGUUCUGACUUUGGAAAAUCAAAAAAAAAUUGGAGAAAAAUAAUUAGAGGCUUAAAUUUAUAUGUUUAGAAUCCCUAAUGAGUCUAUUUUCAGGAGAAAUCAACGGCAAUAUUAUCCAAGUUCUGUAAUGUGAGAUAAUUAAUUUUUAGUGAAGAAGGGUCGGAACUGUCAGACAGCAGAACAGGGGUGAAUUUAAAGAAUAAACUGUACUUAAUGGCUAAACGAAAUAUUCUGAAAAUUUUAUGAUAAGAAGAUUUAUGAGUCUAGUUUCAGGAAAAAUUAGCAGAUCUUAAUUUAGAAUUUUGUAACUCAAGUAUAAAUUAGUAAUGUAUUAAUGAUUAUGAAUUGCAUUACUUUCGUAGUCAAUGUGGUACCGGAAAUCUCGGCUAAGAAAGGACAAGACAAAGUCAACGGGAGUUAGCUCGGAAAUUAAGGUUUGUAUUUCUAUAAUCCAAACUUAAUACUUAAAUUGUUGGAUUUAUUAAUUAAUAUAUAUAUGUAGUAGGUAUUUUGAGAUGAUUAUUUGAAUUGGAUUGAUUAUUGAUUAUAUUGAAUUGAUUUAUGAAUAUAUGUGAAUGUUUGAAUCGAAAUGAAUAUUGAUGUGGAAAUUGAAUAAUAAAUAUUUGUUAUAUUGGAAAAUAUAUGUAGUUGGAAGUGUGAUGAAAUUGAUAGAAAAAUGUGAUUAUUGUGAAAUUGAAUAUUUAUUAGUGAAAAGUGAAUGAAAUUAUAUUUAAUUUAAAAUAUAUAGUUAAUUAAUUAAAAUAUGAACUAAUUGAAAACUGAAAAGUGAAUUAAAUACCCUAUUAACUAGUCGGGCUAGUCGGAUAUAGUUGGCAUGCCAUAGGAUAUGAAAGAGUACGGGUUUUUGCCGGCCUACUGAUCAGGCACUUAUGUGCCUAAUACUGUUACUGUUACCGUUACUAUUACCGAUUCGGCACUUUGUGUGUCAAAUACUGUUACUGUUACAGUUAUCGAUUCAAAACUGUGUGUGUUGAAUACUGUUACUGUUACUAUUCAGGAUUUGUUCCGAUGAGGUACUCUGUGUACCAUAUUGCUACUGUUACUGUUACUGUUUCGGCUUCGGCUGAUGAGGCACUAUGUACCGUACUGGUGUGUUGGUUGGAUCCGUGUAUCCGUCUGGGUCCGAGUCAUGUUAAUAGGGGUAAAUAAAGGUAUAAAAUAAUUGAUUAUUACUGAAUAAUUGACUGUUACCGGAUAUUAGACUGUUAUUGAAUAACUAAAUAUUACUGAAUAAUUGAUCAUUACUGAAUAACUGAUUGUCGCUGAAUGAAUGACUGUUACUGAAUAACUUAAUUGUUACUGAAUAUCUGAUUUUACUGAAUAAUUGACUGUUACUGGAUAACCGAUCAAUUGAUCGAUACUAAAUAACUGGUUAUUAUUGAAUAAUUGAUUGUUACUGAAUAACUGACUGUUACUGAAUAAAUAACUGUUCUGAGUGUUAAUGAACAUUACUGAUUGAUUAAUUGUUAUUGAAAAAUAAUAAAUGAUAUGAAAUUUAAAGUAGACCAAAACAUUGGUUGGAAAGUGAAUGUUUGAAUUCUCAUUGAGUUUGAAUAGUUCAAUAUAUAUAAAUUAAUAUGUUUUAUAAUUGUUUAAAUGUUUAGAUUAUAGAAAUACCAUUGAGUGUAUACUCAGCGUAUGGUUUGUUUCUGUGCGCAGAUUAAGUUAAGGCUAGACUGUUGAAUCAGCAUUCCAGGCCAAUCCAGAAUUCAAUGAGGUAAAGUAUGUUGAGUAUUGGUAAUGGCAUGUACCUAGGAUGUUUUGUGAGAGUCAUUUAGGUUGUAGAAGUAUUGAUGAAAUGAGUAAAUUAUUGUUUGCAACGGUAUGUAGUAUGAAUUUUGAAAUUUACUAAAAAUUCGUAAUGAUUCUAAAUUAGUCCCGAAUUGAAUUUACUGUUCAUAUUGGACCGCGAGGGCUCAUUAAAGGGACGACAUCUUAAAACUAGGAUGUGUGUGCAUAUUUAUUUUAAUUAAUGACCAAGAAUUGGACUGUACUAACUGGUAAUGUCUCAUAACCCUGUUCCGGUGACGGUGUAGGGUUAGGGGACGUUACAGAUGUACUGGUGGGUAUGAAAUGCUAGUUUUCUGACUUUCUGUCCAGAUGUUUGAUUUUUCAGUAGGUUAAAGCUGACCUCAAGUGCCUUCAGGACUGUUACAGCCAGUGAUGAUACCGGAGUGGAAAUGGGAUAGAGUUACGGUGGAUUUCAUUUCGGGGAUACCCCUAUCUCUAAAAAAGAAAGAUGUUAUCUGGGUUAUUGUUGAUCGUUUGACAAAGUCUGCACAUUUUAUUCUGGUAUUUCAGACUUCUUACUUGACCGAUUAGCUAAGUUAUAUGUUUCUGAGAUUGUCAGAUUACACAGAGUGCCAGUCUCCAUUAUUUCGAAUAGAGAUCCGCGGUAUACUUCUUCUAGAGGAAGUUACAGGAAGCUUUGGGUACGCGGUUGCAUUUUAGCACUGCAUUUUACCCUCAGAUCGAUGGUCAGUCUCAGAGAGUGAUUCAGAUUCUCGAAGAUAUGCUUCGUUGCUGUGUUUGAAAGUUCGAAGGCAACUGGGAAAAAUAUUUACCGUUAGUCAAAUUCGCGUAUAAUAAUAGUUUUUAGUCGAGCAUAAAGAUGAUACCGUAUGAAGCUUUAUAUGGUCAUAAAUGUCAAACUCCAUUAUAAUGGAUUGAGCUCAAUGAGAAAAAAAGACACGGGGUUGAUUUGAUUCGCGAGACUGAGGAAAUAGUGAAAGUGAUUCAUGACAGUUUGAAAGCAGCUUCAGAUCGACAAAAAUCGUAUGCAGAUUUGAAACAUAAAGAUAUUGAAUUUUAUAUUGGAGACAAAGUGUUUUUGAAAGUAUCACCUUGGAGAAGGAUUCUUAGUUUCGGUUGAAAAGGGAAGCUUAGUCCGCGAUUUAUCGGGCCGUAGGAGAUUAUCAAGAGAAUUGGGCUAGUGGCAUAUUGACUAGAUCUACCGUCAAAAAUUGAAAGGAUACAUAAUGUGUUUCAUGUAUCCAUGUUACGACGGUACAGAUAAGACACUUCACAUUUAAUUUCUCCGACAGAUGUUGAGAUUCAGCUCGACACGUCGUAUAACAAAAAACUGAUCAAAAUUUUCGCACGAUAGAUUAAAGAGUUAAGAAACAAAAGCAUAGUUUUAGUGAAGGUUCUUUGCCAACGUCAAAAAAUAGAGGAGGCUACUUGGGAACCAUAGGAAACUAUGAAUAAACAAUACCCUAACCUAUUUUCUAGUAAGAUUUUUAGGGAUGAAAAUUUCUUAGGGGGCAGAGUUAUAACAACCUGUUUUCAAUGAAAUCGGAACAGUGGUUUCACGACCACAAAUUGAAGAUCAAAAAAAUUCUUUUAAUAUUAUUUUAUGAUCUACAGCAUGAAAAUAUUAUCAUAUAAAAAUUUCGUUAAGAAAUUUUAAUGUUUACAUAUUCAAUUUGAUAAAAAGGACUAAAUCUCGUAAAGUGCAAAAGUUGAGUUCUAAUAGCUAAAGGUAUUAAAUUUCUAUAAAACUUUAAAGUGGAAGUCUUUAUAUGGAAAUUAGACCAUUAAAUGUGAUAGUGGAUGUGCAUGACUCUGCAAUUCUGUUAUUUUUAAAGUUAGGUAAGGUUAGUUUGGUAAAUAUAUAAUAAUAAAUAAAUAAAAUAAAAUAAAAAGCCUAAAAGCUAUCAUCUUCCUCCCAUUUUCUUUGUGUUAGCCUAGAAUGAUAUUCGGCUAGGCUUGGGUAGGGAUGAAUUUGCAUGAAUUUCAUUUUACGAGCCUAAGGACUAAUUUGUAAAUAAAUGAAAAGUAUAAAGGCAAAAUGAUAAUUUUUCCAAACAUGAUUUUUGGAUUAAAUUGAAUAGAAUAAGGGUUCAAUUAGUUAAAUUUGAUUAUAUAGAUCAUAAAAAGCAACGUACAGAUUUAGAUCGGGAAAAAAACAAAGUAAAAGAUUAAUUAAUUGUUUUUCUGUACGAGUUUAAGGUACGUUCGUAUAUUUAAUUAACAUUAAAUUAUAUUUGAGUUAAAUGCUCUUGUUUUAUAUUAUUGAUAUUAUGAAUCUACGUAAAUGUCCAAAAAAGUUUCGACGGCUUUCGAAUCUCGUUUAAACCUUAGGAAUAAAUAGGAUACAAAUGACAUGUCAUUAAGGGUUAUCGUGUUUUGGGUUCUGGUCUCGUACGUCCUGCCGGUGGUUGAGGUUCUAGCAUUUUUUGCGAUUACUUGAUAGCUUGUGUGAGCAGACUCAUUUAUGGCUCGAGAGAGAGCAUUGGUACGAUAUAUGAGAUAGUAAUGGUUUUGACCAUAUGUUGGCACAUAGUGUGCGAAAUUCUCGUGUAUCCGAUAUUAUUCUAGUGGUUCAAUUGGUAUGAGAAGAAGGAAAGAUCAGCAAAUGCUUCAUUUAGAUUUGCUGUGAAUGUAUGGAAAGGUAUGAUUUUUUGGAUGAUUGAAAUAUGCUUGAAAAUAUGAAUGUACAUAAGUAGUGUGUACUUAUGCUAUGAUGUCUUGAGAUGAUUUGCUAGUUUAUAUGAUAUUUACAAUUUAGAGGUUAUUCUUGUUUAGGCCAAGGCCAGGACAUUCUGGAUUGACUCAAAUUGUUUUAAGCUUAUAAAUUGAAACGGUAAGCUUUAUUUUUGAAUUACGAACUUACUAAGCAUUACAUGCUUACUUUGUGUUAAUUUUCCUUGUGUACCUAGAUAUUGAAAGCUCAUACGGGUUGGAAGUUGUCAAAGAUUUCAUCACACUAUCAAUUAGCUAUUUUGGUACUUUUGGUUAUAUAAUUUUGGUUAUAAUGGCAUGUAUAGGUCAUUUUGGCUAAUGAUAGCCUACAUGUUUUGUUAUGUUUUUAGCCAUUUGAUUUGGCUUGUAUUUUGGAUAUAUUUUGUUAUGUAUAUAUGUAAACAACCUUAUCAUAUGUGGUGUAUGGUUAUCAUGUGAAUGUCUAGUUUGUGAAUUUAUAUUUUGGGUACAAAAUAGUUGAGCUUGAUAAGUGACAUACAUGUUAAAUUUUGGUACAAUUAUACAUAUUUGUGUUUAGUCAUUUUGGUAGGUUUGGGUACAUAGUUGGCAUGUUUUUAAAUGGUCAAUUGAGGUGCCUAUGAGCAUCAUGGUUGUAUGUGAUGAUAUUACAUGUCUUAAGCUUGAUUUUGGUUUGUGUUGAAUGUCCAUUCAUGACUUGGUUAUAUGCAAAUUGUUGUGUUUAGGUUGGUAUCUGAUGCAUGAUAUUCGUAACAGGUUUUCAAAAUUUCUAAAUGAAUCGUUCUUGAGACUAACUUAUUAUCACGGUUAAGGUAAGUGUACCUAUAGAACAGUAGUAUAGUUCAGCAAGACCGGACUGUGGAACCCAAAGGAACUAUGAGUACUAGUAUUUACUUCCUUUUUAUUAUCUAGCCUAAAAAUUAAGAGGUUUGGUUAUCCAAACUAAUUACUAAACUAGGAAUGCACAGAAAGAAAAUUUGGGAAAAUACUUUUAGGAAAAUUCGAUUGAUUAAGACAAUACCUAAGGAAAAAUCCACCUAGACUUCACUUGUUAUUCGACUCUGAAUCAGACGAUUUAUUCAUUUGACUUGAUCCGUAGAAAUCCCUAAGUUAUAUUAUUAUCUCUCUCGAGACUAAUAACGUCUAAUUCUAGGUUGAAUAAUUGAAAUCUUUUUCUAAUUAACACCCUAGAAUUGAAUUAAAUCGAUCUAUGGACUCCCUUAUUAAGUUUCACCCUAAUCCGACAAAAUCUUAUCACCCUAUCUCUAGGCGUGUAAUCAACUCCGCUUAAUUAUGCCAAAUUUACUCUUAGACAGGGUCUAUUCCUCCUCUGAAUAAGAGCUUGACUUGAAUCAAUAUCCUGGAAUAUCAAAACAAGAAUUAAGAACACAUAAUUAAGAACAAGUCAAAUAUUUAUCAUACAAUUCAGAUAAUAAUAACAAGAUCCGUCUUAGGUUUCAUUCCCCUUAGGUAUUUAGGGGGUUUAGUUCAUACUUAUGGAAGAAAACAUCUCAAAAGCAUAAAGAUAACAAAACAUAAGAAAACCCAAAACUCCUGAAGGAACUUGAAGGGAGAUCUUCAGUCUUGAUGAUGAAUCCGGCUUCUGAGAUGGAUCAAUCGGCUUUCCUUGAGUAAUUCCUUGCUUCCUACUCUGCGCCCUUCUCCUAGGUGCCUCAUCAGGUGUUUAAAUAGGCUUUUGGAUGCCCAAGAGCCCUAAAAAUUGGCUUUUUCUGAAUUGGACUAUACUUGGGCUCAGUAGGACACGCCCGUGUGCGAUUACUCCAGCUCGUGGUCAAGGCUGUUGAAUAGGCAUGGGCGUGUAGUCUACCUGUGUAAGUAUUGCUUCGAUCAUUCUAAAGAGACACGACCGUGUGACACGCCCGUGUGAGGAAGUCCAGGCCAUGUUGAUUUCCCAUGUGGGUCCAUUUUCUCUGUUUUUGACCCGUUUCUCGCUCGUUUUACUCUCCUAUGCUCUCUUAAGUAUGAAGCAUGAAAUUAAAGGAUUAGGAGCAUUGAAUUAACCAAAUCUAAGGAGAAACCAUUCAUAAAUGGGCUAAGCAUGGGAUAAAAAUAUGUAUAAAUAAUGGUUUAUCAAAUACCCCCACACUUAAGCAUUUGCUUGUCCUCAAGCAAAAUCCUCAACUCAUAAUCAAAAUAAUUUCUUCUCAAUUUAUAAUCCCUAUCAAUAAUAUCUAAAAAUCAUCCAUAAGUAUUCAUACAUUGAGAAUUCAACUAAAAGUACAUCAAAGUUUCAAACAUUCCAAGUUGAGCAUUUUCUCACGAAAACAUAGGUGUCUCCCAUUAUCUAAGUGAUUAUAUUUGAUCAAAAUAUCGCAGAGUUUAACAUCCUCACUAAAGAUUCACUCAAAUCACUCAAGGUGUUUAAGGAUAUCAAUAAAAGCACUCAUUAGUCAAUAUGAAAAGUUAUUAUCAUAGGCUUGCUUGAAAAUCAAAUCUCCACCACUAUAUAUUGAGCUGAUACAUCAAUCAAAAAGGUCUUUUAGAGGUUUGUAACAUGGCUUUGGUUAGGGGUGUGGUCACAAGCUGAAAAAAGAUGUUAGAAUCGAGAUUGAAUUAACUAGUCAUCAAUUGAAUACAAGUGAGCUUCUUCUCAGAAUAUGGAAUUAACACUCAAGCUUAAAAAUGACGAAUUAGUACUAAUAUGUAUUUAAGUAUUGUUUUUUUAAGAACAAGUCAAAAAUUUAGAAGAACAAAACAUAACUAAGCAAUUUGUUCAAAUCAAAUCUCGAUAAAAAUAGGGAUCAAAUUAAUGGCUUGUUAGGCUCAAACGGGGUUCACUAAGGGUUAAUUAUGGAGGUAGGCUUUUGUGGAGUGAGUGGGUUAAACCUAAGUGCCUUUAUCAUCUUGACAUAUCAAAUCAAAUGGUGUGGUCUUGACAUGCAUAAUCAAGUAAGUUCUAGAAUAACAAAUCAAAACUGACACACUCAUAAUGAAAGUGAGCAUGAAAGGAAUAAAAUAUGCUCUAAAGACUCAAUAUCUCACAAAAAUUAUGGCUUUUUGAUGUUUAAACUUGUGAAUUUCAAUUCAAGAUAAUACCUAAACUUAGGGAAACAACCUAAAAGUUUUUAAUUCUUCAAAAAUCAACUUAUCAUGCUUGAUUCCCUAAUGUCUUAAAGUUUAAACAAUCAAUGCAUAAUUGCCUAUGUUUUAAUUCAAGACAUAUUAAUAAAAAAUCAUAAAUUAAUUAAAAUUCAUUCUAAUAGUGAUAUGAGUGAUUCACGUGAGAAUAAGACAAAAUUCAGGGAUUUCUAAUGAUGAUAUGAAAGACCCCUCCAUACUUAAGAUGUACAUUGCCCUCAAUGUACCAAGAUAGAUAUAUAGAAAAAAUAGAUAUAUAAUCAUAAGAUAGGAAGAGGAGUGAAACUUCCUGAAUGAUGAAUGAACUCCUUGAAUUGGAGUUAUGGAGAAUAAUCGGCCAAAGCAAUGAUGAGGGUGGAGGAGGAUACUCUGGUAGUGGUAGAGGUUCAUUAAGCCAUAAAUCCUGCGCCAAAAGAAUAUUAUAUCUGGUGGUUAUGGUCGUGGUCGAGUAGGACAUGGUAGUCGUGGAGAUCCUUUCUCGGUGGAGUCUUUAGUUCUUAUGCGAUGAUGAGCUUUAGAGCUCUUUAUAACUGUGAUAAAAUCAGGAACUUUCUAGGGAAUAUAAAGAAGCAUAAUUACUCGUAAUGAAAUAGCUGAAAUUAAAAAUUGUAAAAUAAUAAUUAUAAAACCUAAUAAAAAUAAGCUUAAAGAAAAAAAAGUAGUCUUAAAAUAGAAAUAAAGUAAAAAAAGAAAAUAAUAAAUAAAAGUUUUUAAACAUCUUCAUCGCUAAAUGGAUCGCGAGGUGGGGGUGGCGAUGAGAUGUGAAGGUGCUGACAAAUCUGGCGAAGUGUAGCAUCAAUGUGAUCAAAACACUGAAAACACUGCUGCUCAAAUCGUGUAAGGCGCUCAAAGAUGUCAGAAUAUGAAGCUGCUGCAUGAACUGGACGAUGAAGAGGUGGUGGCUGAAUUGGUGGAUCCUCGUGACGUGGAGGGACAUCAUCAGUAAUGUCCUCUAGGUCCUCCUCCUCGGUGGACUGGGCGAGACGGUACUGAAGAGGGUAUGUGCCACGUCGUUUUUCAAUCAUCCUCAUACUUAGCAUGCUCGAGAUGCCCUGUGGGGACAUCUGGCCAAUGAGAGUGAGGGAGGAUGAUUGGGCUGCUAUGUUGAGAAGCCCAAAGUGCCGAGCCAGUCGAGUCACAUAGAGACUGAUAGAGAUGACCCCUCUCCUGUGCCGUUCCGUUUGGUGGUGAAUGGCGAGGGUAAUAAAGUAGGCGAGGUCGAUGACGUUUCCAUUCGACAUACUCCAUAAGAAAUAGGCGUCAUGGGUGGUGACGACGCCGGUGCUCUCUUAUCUCCCUGUCAGAGCGUGAGCCAAGAUGGCGUGUAGAUACCUCAAGAAUGGAGGGAGAGCCGAUGCCUUGGAGCGGCUAGGGUCGUAGGUGGCUGAGGCAGGGACGAGGUCCCUCUAGCAUUUUGAAGGGGAGUAGAGGAUGUGGCGGUGGAGGGUGUUGAGUUCAUUCUCGUCCAUGAAUUCUUCCGUGUAUAGCCCUAGUGCAAUCCCGAACUCAAGUACGCUCAACUGGCGUAUUAGACCACCAAGGCAGAACUGGACCAUACCAGGAUCGUCGAAGUUUGUCAUGACGGUCUGAAGAUGGAACGUCGAGCAGAGUUCCAAUAUGAAUUAGAGAUACGUCGGCUCGACGAUCUCAAAGAAGAGCCCCCAUGAGUCUAUUGUUAGGAGGGCUCGGACCGCGUCAACCAAUUGAAUCUGUUCGAGUGUGGCCCAGUCAAUGCAGCGGUCCACACCUAGGGGUCGGGCCCAUAAUAUCUGAUAUAAUUCCUCCUGGGGUCCCAAGGGAACCUGGAGGAACAGGUGCCUAAUCUCCGUGGUAGGACCAGAGGAUGACACUGCUCCUUUCCUCUUCUUCGAGGUGGGAACAACAGUCUUCUUACCACGUGAGGAUGACAUUGUACCUACGUUGAAAAAUCAAAGUUCAACCAAUACGUCCCAAAAAUAACACGGAAGUACAAAACUAAAUAGGAACAUUUCAUGAGACUUACGUGAUGGAUGAAGUAAACAAAACUACUAAAUAUAUCAAGUUAUAGGAUUAUGGGAAUAAUGUAACGGGAAUAUGAAUGAAUGCAUGUGGAUAAGCAUAAAUUUCAUGGAACGAAGAAAAAUGAAAGAGUAUAGCAUAAUGUAGUAACUAAAAUGACAAAUUUUUUAUAAACAAUCAUGAAUAUUUUAAUAAUCUAACUAUGAAUAUUCAUUCAAAAUAGUUUAAUAGAGUGGAAAAAUCAUGAAAUAAGUAACAUAUUUAAAGAAAAUAGAGAGAAAAGAGUAAACAAACGCAAAAGGAAGGAUCUUGGGGCACCAAAAUUGGUGUUGCAGGCAGCACACCGGCGUAGGGGUAGGGCGUGUGAAAUUGCAGCGGCUAGGGUUUGGGAUUUUUGGGGUAGGAGAUGAUGAAUAGUGAGGGGUUUAUAUAGAUUUUGAGCACACGACCGUGGGAAACGCCCGUGUGGCCUAACUUUUUCCCGUGUGUUUCACGAAUUUUAAAUUUCCGCGCGUCUGACAUUCGGCCCACGCCCGUGUUCUUUGGGUGUGUGGGUGCACACGGCCGUGUCGCACGGCCGUGUCUAACUUCAUUCGCUUCUCCCACACCCGUGUUCAUAGGUUAUCCUAGUCAUGGAUAGAUCACCCAGGUUCGGGUCCAUAAGCAGUGACAAUUGCCCUGUGAAGACUCACUUUCGCUACGACUCCGGUGGAUUCCCUUAACCAAGCCACUGCCUAUGAGUUGCCGGCUCAUUCUUCAAUAGGCACGCGGUCAGAGCCCUGGGCUCCUCCCACUGCUUGGGAGCUUACGGUUUCAUGUUCUAUUUCACUCCCCGACGGGGGUUCUUUUCACCCUUCCCUUACGGUACUACUUCGCUAUCGAUCAUCCAGAAGUAUAUAGCCUUGCAAGGUGGUCCUUGCUGAUUCACACGGGAUUCCAUCAGUAUUGAUUUUUUUCAAUAAAAAAAACUUUCUUAAUUUCAAGUAUAUUAUAAUAAUAUAACAGAAAUUAUGAGUCUAUGUAAACUCCAGAGCAUAAGUUGUUACACAGUUAUAGUUAUCUAAUGAGGUAUUUUAUCUAUCUAGAUAUGAUGUCCAUAGGGAAUCAGCAAGAAAUUAUCAUAUUUGGACCAAAAACAAGCAAGGGGUGGAAUACCACAAAGAGAAAGUGUACCUACUAAAAAAGCAAUUUGGGUAACAGGCACGUGCUUUCUUAAACCGCCCAUAAAAACCAUAUUAUGGCUUUUCUCUGGAGAAUAUCCAACAAUAACUUCUAUGGAAUGAAUAAUCAAUCCGGAUGCUAAAAACAACAACGCUUUCGAAUAAGCAUGAGUAAUCAAAUGAAAUAAAGCGGCUCGAUAAGACCCCAUACCUAGAGCUAACAUCCUAUUCUUUCCCCAGACCUUGCUAGUAAUAAGGAUGCUCAUUUCUUAAAAUAUCCCAUAUACGUAGGUGGAAACAGGGGAAGGGGCCAGAUUUAUCCCGAUGGGAACAAAAGUAACAAUACUAUUUAUAAUGCUACAGCAACAGGUAUAGUAAGCAAAAUCAUACGAAAAGAAAAAGGGGGGUACAAAAUAACCAUAACGGAUGCCUUGGAUGGACAUCAAGUGGUUGAUAAAACACAUAGAGUUAAUGGUAUUUCAUAACUAAUCGAUUGAGCAACAGCUCGCAGACCACCUAAAAAGGAAUAUUUAUUAUUUGAUCCGUAUCCUGACAUAAGAAGUCUAACGGGAGCAAUACUUGAAAUGGCAAUCCAUAAAAAAAUGCCGAUAUUGAGAUCGGCUAAAAUAAGGCGAGAGCUAAAAGGAAUUACUAAAAAACUUAGUAAAAUUGAUAUGACUGUUAUAGCUGGUCCAAUACUAAAUAAACGAGUAUUGCCUCUAGAUGGAAGAAUAUUUUCUUUGAAAAGCAGUUUUGUUCCAUCUGCUAGCGCUUGAAGAAUACCCAAAGGGCCAGCGUAUUCAGGCCCAAUACGUUGUUGUAUUCCUGCAGAUAUUUCUCUUUCUAACCAUACAAUUACUAGUACACCUAUUAUGAUUCCCAAUACAAGACCUCUUAGAGGUUCUAACCAAGGAGCACGCAGAUCCCAAAAACGCAUAGUUUCCCCUCUAAAAAUGACUUCUCCGAUCGGGGAACACAUUAGAUAUUUUUUGAUCUAAGAUUUCAAUUCUUCCAUGUUUCAGCAGUAGCAUAUUGUUUCAUGGAGCUAAGGUCCAAAAUAUGGAAGAAACAGGUGUUUCCACAACUCUACCACCCAGUCAAUUCCGUUCCACUUAAUCCCUAUUUCAUGACCACAAAUCUUUCCGGCUAAGUAAUGGGAAACCUUUCUCCUCUUACAUGAAUCCAAUUUUCAUAAGUAAUUCACCUCAUUCACAUCCAGAUCAUGAAUGUUUGGAAUCCAUAUUAUGCAAGGAGACAUUGCCUUUGCUAGUUCGAAUUGAAGGGUGAUAUAAAAUCGGUCUAUUUCCGACAUCAUAUCCAUACGAGCAUGAAGAAAUUAACGAUACUUCUUUAUCUUUUGAGUUGUUCUGCCGGAUUGGUCGCUCAAGACCUUUGGUCUCUGCCCGGACCCGAUGAAAAAAAUGGGAUCACUUCUUAUGGGUUCGUUGAGAAUGAUUCUGAUCUAGUUCAUGGCCUAUUAGAAGUAGAAGGCGCUCUGGUGGGAUCCUCACGGACAGAAAAAGAUUGCGGUUAGUUUGAUAAUGAUCGAGUGACAUUGCUUCUUCGAUCCGAGCUGGGGAAUCCCUUAUAUAUGAUGCAAAAUGGAUCUUGUUCUAUCGUUGAUCAGAGAAAUCUCUAUGAAAAAUACAAAUCGGAGUUUGAAGAAGGGGAAGGAGAAGGAGUACUCGACUUAUCCCGCCUGGGGAGUAUGUUCGCAAGAAUAAAACUCAAAGGAAUUGAUGGGGGCCCGCACAAACAGUGGAGCAUGUGGUUUAAUUCGAUGCAAAGCAAAGAACCUUACCAGGGCUUGACAUGCCGCGAAUCCUCUUGAAAGAGAAGGGUGCCUUCGGGAACGACCGAACCAUUUAUCAGGCUAUUGUUCUCUUGUUUUGUUCCUUCAAAGUAAUGGAGUAAGACAUCGAUUUCUCAAAAAGAUCAAUUCUUUUGAUUGCAUGAUAGACUUCCCUGAAAAGCAUUGGUGCACGUGUAAACGAGAUGCUCUACCAACUGAGCUAUAGCCCUUGUGUUUGUGAUACAUAUUUUAUCAUAUUAUGUAGAUAAAGUAAUACACAGAUAUAGAAAAAUAAUAUAUAUAUAUAUAUAUAAUAUUUUCUGCUUCUAUUUCUAUUAAAACUAAAACUAAUAAAAACCCCUCAAAUGACUAACUAUCGAUACUGGAGUAUCCCGUAGUAAUGAAUGUGCACGUGAUUUGGGAUAGAGUAAUAUUGUUUGUUCUAUCUAUGUAAGACAAAAAGAAAGAGAGAAAAAAGGGCAUGUUGCUGCCAUUUUUGAAAUGAUUUAAUAUCGCCGAAGUAAUGUUUAAACCCAAUGAUUCAAGGCAAAGAUAAAAGAAAAAAGGAAUUGUCGAAAAACAAAUUAUGUGGAUAAUUAUUAUUAUCAUUAUCCGAUAUUACUAAUGAGUAAACCUCUAGCAACAAGAUGAAAAGCGAAUUUUUCCUUCUGUGAAAUGAAAUUCGAAUUUGGAGAGACAAAUAAAACGAAUUUUAUUUUCCUCUAUUGCGUAUGUAUAUAGAAUUUAAAUAGAGAAAAAAUAGAAUAGAAAUAUAGAGUUUUGCAUCUUUCUAUAUCUCCCGAAAAUUCUAUUUUUACUAAUAAUCCCUGUUCUUGGAUCGGAUUCUAACGAAUCGAAUCUUUCGACAAUUUGUAAUAAACUAUUUCUUUAUUAAAUUCAAAAAUGCAAAUUAGAA